UACGAAGGUCCCAAGCGUUGUUCGGAAUCACUGGGCGUAAAGGGAGCGUAGGCGGUUUGGUAAGUCAGAUGUGAAAUCCAGGGGCUCAACCUCUGAACUGCAUUUGAUACUGCCAGACUAGAGUAUUGGAGAGGUAAGUGGAAUUCUCGGUGUAGCAGUGAAAUGCGUGGAUAUCGAGAGGAAGACCAAUGGCGAAGGCAACUUACUGGACAAUGACUGACGCUGAGGCUCGAAGGCUAGGGGAGCGAAAGGG
rnacentral:rRNA from 1 species